AAACGAUGGAUGCUCGCUGUUGGCCUUUGUGGUCAGUGGCUUAGCGAAAGCGUUAAGCAUCCCACCUGGGGAGUACGCCGGCAACGGUGAAACUCAAAGGAAUUGACGGGGGCCCGCACAAGCGGAGGAACAUGUGGUUUAAUUCGAUGAUACGCGAGGAACCUUACCCGGGCUUGAACUGCAGCUGAACGAUUCAGAGAUGAUGAGGCCCUUCGGGGCAGCUGUGGAGGUGCUGCAUGGCUGUCGUCAG
rnacentral:rRNA from 1 species